rnacentral:rRNA from 1 species
UACGAAGGGGACUAGCGUUGUUCGGAAUUACUGGGCGUAAAGCGCACGUAGGCGGAUUUGUUAGUCAGGGGUGAAAUCCCGGGGCUCAACCUCGGAACUGCCUUUGAUACUGCAAGUCUCGAGUCCGAUAGAGGUGGGUGGAAUUCCUAGUGUAGAGGUGAAAUUCGUAGAUAUUAGGAAGAACACCGGUGGCGAAGGCGGCCCACUGGAUCGGUACUGACGCUGAUGCGCGAAAGCGUGGGGAGCAAACGGG